rnacentral:rRNA from 1 species
GAUGAACGCUGACAGAAUGCUUAACACAUGCAAGUCGACUUGAACUUCGGUUUGGGUGGCGGACGGGUGAGUAACGCGUAAAGAACUUGCCUCACAGAUAGGGACAACAUUUGGAAACGAAUGCUAAUACCUGAUAUUAUGAUUAUAUGGCAUCGUAUAAUUAUGAAAGCUAUAUGCGCUGUGAGAGGGCUUUGCGUCCCAUUAGCUAGUUGGAGAGGUAACGGCUCACCAAGGCGAUGAUGGGUAGCCGGCCUGAGAGGGUGAUCGGCCACAAGGGGACUGGGACACGGCCCUUACUCCUACGGGAGGCAGCAGUGGGGAAUAUUGGACAAUGGACCAAGAGUCUGAUCCAGCAAUUCUGUGUGCACGAUGAAGUUUUUCGGAAUGUAAAGUGCUUUCAGUUGAGAAGAAAAAAAUGACGGUACCAACAGAAGAAGUGACGGCUAAAUACGUG